AGCCCCGUGGUGGAAACCACGUCAGAUUGCAAAUCUGAAGACGCAGACUAAUUCCUGCCGGGGCUU
rnacentral:tRNA from 1 species